rnacentral:rRNA from 1 species
UACGUAGGGUGCGAGCGUUAAUCGGAAUUACUGGGCGUAAAGUGUGCGCAGGCGGCCGCGCAAGUCGAGUGUGAAAUCCCCGAGCUUAACUUGGGAAUUGCGCUCGAAACUACGUGGCUGGAGUGUGGCAGAGGAAGGUGGAAUUCCACGUGUAGCGGUGAAAUGCGUAGAGACGUGGAGGAACACCAAUUGCGAAGGCAGCUCGCUGGGACGUUACUGACGCUGAGACGCGAAAGCGUGGGGAGCAAACAGG